GCGGGAAUAGCUCAGUUGGUAGAGCAUAACCUUGCCAAGGUUGGGGUCGCGAGUCUCGUUUCCCGCUCCA
rnacentral:tRNA from 1 species